UACGAAGGGGGCUAGCGUUGUUCGGAAUUACUGGGCGUAAAGCGCACGUAGGCGGAUAUUUAAGUCAGGGGUGAAAUCCCGGGGCUCAACCCCGGAACUGCCUUUGAUACUGGGUAUCUCGAGUCCGAGAGAGGUGAGUGGAAUUCCGAGUGUAGAGGUGAAAUUCGUAGAUAUUCGGAGGAACACCAGUGGCGGAAGGCG
rnacentral:rRNA from 1 species